rnacentral:rRNA from 1 species
GCCAGACUCCUACGGGAGGCAGCAGUGGGGGAUAUUGCACAAUGGGGGGAACCCUGAUGCAGCGACGCCGCGUGGGUGAAGGAGUAUUUCGGUAUGUAAAGCCCUAUCGGCAGGGAAGAAGCAAGACGGUACCUGACUAAGAAGCCCCGGCUAACUACGUGCCAGCAGCCGCGGUAAUACGUAGGGGGCGAGCGUUAUCCGGAUUCACUGGGUGUAAAGGGAGCGUAGACGGCCAAGCAAGCCAGGGGUGAAAGCCCGGGGCCCAACCCCGGGACUGCCCUUGGAACUGCAUGGCUGGAGUGCGGGAGGGGCAGGCGGAAUUCCUGGUGUAGCGGUGAAAUGCGUAGAUAUCAGGAGGAACACCGGUGGCGAAGGCGGCCUGCUGGACUGCGACUGACGUUGAGGCCCGAAAGCGUGGGGAGCAAACAGGAUUAGAUACCCUGGUA